rnacentral:rRNA from 1 species
UACGUAGGGUGCAAGCGUUAAUCGGAAUUACUGGGCGUAAAGCGUGCGCAGGCGGUUAUGUAAGACAGUUGUGAAAUCCCCGGCUCACCUGGGAACUGCAUCUGUGACUGCAUAGCUAGAGUACGGUAGAGGGGGAUGGAAUUCCGCGUGUAGCAGUGAAAUGCGUAGAUAUGCGGAGGAACACCGAUGGCGAAGGCAGUGAUCUGGGCCAGUACUGACGCUGAGGAGCGAAAGCGUGGGGAGCAAACAGG